rnacentral:rRNA from 1 species
AGCAGCCGCGGUAAUUCCAGCUCCAAUAGCGUAUAUUAAAGUUGUUGCAGUUAAAAAGCUCGUAGUUGAACUUCGGGAUCAAUGAGUUGGUCGUGCCUUUGGUAUGAACUGGCUUUAUUGGUUCUCACCUUCUAAUGAACCAUAAUGUCAUUCAUUUGAUGUUUUGGGGAAUUAGGACUGUUACCUUGAAAAAUUAGAGUGUUUAAAGCAGGCUCACGCUUGAAUACAUUAGCAUGGAAUAAUGAAAUAGGACAUCGCAUUCUAUUUUGUUGGUUUCUAGGAUCGAUGUAAUGAUUAAUAGGGAUAGUUGGGGGCAUUAGUAUUCAAUUGUCAGAGGUGAAAUUCUUGGAUUUAUUGAAGACUAACUACUGCGAAAGCAUUUGCCAAGGAUGUUUUCAUUAAUCAAGAACGAAAGUUAGGGGAUCGAAGACGAUCAGAUACCGUCGUAGU